AGGGGGUCAUCGCGACUUACCAAACCAUUGCAAACUCCGAAUACCGAGACGGACUGUAUGGGAGACACACGGCGGGUGCUAACGUCCGUCGUGAAAAGGGAAACAACCCAGACCCACAGCUAAGGUCCCAAUUUGUGCUAAGUGGAAAACCAUGUGGAAAGGCACAGACAGCCAGGAGGUUGGCUUAGAAGCAGCCACCCUUUAAAGAAAGCGUAAUAGCUCACUGGUCGAGUCGGUCUGCGGGGAAGAUUUAACGGGGCUAAGCACAGAACCGAAGCUUGGGGUGCAUAACUUUGUUAUGCGCGGUAGAGGAGCGUUCCGUAAGCCGUUGAAGGUGGAUUGAGAAGUCUGCUGGAGGUAUCGGAAGUGCGAAUGCUGACAUGAGUAACGAUAAUGCGGGUGAAAACCCGCACGCCGAAAGCCCAAGGUUUCCUUGCGCAACGUUAAUCGGCGCAGGGUGAGUCGGCCCCUAAGGCGAGGACGAAAGUCGUAGUCGAUGGGAAGCAGGUUAAUAUUCCUGCACCUCGCGUAAGUGCGAUGGAGGGACGGAGAAGGUUAGGUGUACCAGGCGUUGG
rnacentral:rRNA from 1 species